rnacentral:rRNA from 1 species
UACGAAGGGGGCUAGCGUUGCUCGGAAUUACUGGGCGUAAAGCGCACGUAGGCGGAUUGUUAAGUCGGGGGUGAAAUCCUGGAGCUCAACUCCAGAACUGCCUUCGAUACUGGCGAUCUUGAGUUCGGGAGAGGUGAGUGGAACUGCGAGUGUAGAGGUGAAAUUCGUAGAUAUUCGCAAGAACACCAGUGGCGAAGGCGGCUCACUGGCCCGAUACUGACGCUGAGGUGCGAAAGCGUGGGGAGCAAACAGG